rnacentral:rRNA from 1 species
UACGUAGGGGGCGAGCGUUGUCCGGAGUUACUGGGCGUAAAGGGCACGCAGGCGGUGCGGCGCGUUUCGCGUGACAGCGGAGGGCUUAACUCUCCGAGGAUGCGAAAGACGGCGGCACUUGAGGGCCAGAGAGGGACACGGAAUUCCGGGUGGAGUGGAGAAAUGCGUAGAGAUCCGGAGGAACACCGAAGGCGAAGGCAGUGUCCUGGCUGGUGACUGACGCUGAGGUGCGAAAGCUAGGGGAGCGAACGGG